rnacentral:lncRNA from 1 species
GAGAAGCUGAGGCCCCAUGCUCCAGCCCGAGGCUGCCAGCGCUGCGACGUGGACAUGUCGGCGUUGUUGGUGUGCGCCGACGCGCGGGCCGUGAGCAAGAGAAAACUGCAACCCACGCGGGCGGCGCUCGCACUGACCCCCUCUGCUGUGAACAAGAUAAAACAACUUCUUAAAGAGAAGCCUGAGCAUGUGGGUCUGAAAGUGGGCAUUCGGACCAGGGGCUGUAAUGGCCUCUCUUACAGCCUGGAGUAUACAAAGACAAAAGGAGGUGCUGAUGAAGUUAUUCAAGACAGAGUCUGAGUGUUCAUCGAGAAGAAAGCCCAGCUAACCCUGUUAGGCACAGAGAUAGACUAUGUGGAAGACAAACUGUCCAGUGAGUUUGUGUUCAACAACCCCAACAUCAAGGGAACCUGUGGCUGCGGUGAAAGCUUUAACGUCUGAAAGCUGAGGACUGCAAACUCCAGGAGAGCUGGGUCUGCCUUGGAGCAUGCCGGAGAAAUCAUGUGAUGUCCCGUGUCGGAAGUUAGUGUGUGGCUGCCUCGUGGUUGAGAAUAAAGUGAAGCAUUGAAAAUCAA